rnacentral:rRNA from 1 species
CGCGUAGGUGGUUUGGUAAGAUGGAUGUGAAAUCCCCGGGCUCAACCUGGGAACUGCAUCCAUGACUGCCUGACUAGAGUACGGUAGAGGGUGGUGGAAUUUCCUGUGUAGCGGUGAAAUGCGUAGAUAUAGGAAGGAACACCAGUGGCGAAGGCGACCACCUGGACUGAUACUGACACUGAGGUGCGAAAGCGUGGGGAGCAAACA